rnacentral:rRNA from 1 species
AUUGAACGCUGGCGGCAGGCUUAACACAUGCAAGUCGAGCGGGGGAAGGUAGCUUGCUACCUGACCUAGCGGCGGACGGGUGAGUAAUGCUUAGGAAUCUGCCUAUUAGUGGGGGACAACAUCUCGAAAGGGAUGCUAAUACCGCAUACGUCCUACGGGAGAAAGCAGGGGACCUUCGGGCCUUGCGCUAAUAGAUGAGCCUAAGUCGGAUUAGCUAGUUGGUGGGGUAAAGGCCUACCAAGGCGACGAUCUGUAGCGGGUCUGAGAGGAUGAUCCGCCACACUGGGACUGAGACACGGCCCAGACUCCUACGGGAGGCAGCAGUGGGGAAUAUUGGACAAUGGGGGGAACCCUGAUCCAGCCAUGCCGCGUGUGUGAAGAAGGCCUUUUGGUUGUAAAGCACUUUAAGCGAGGAGGAGGCUACCGAGAUUAAUACUCUU